ACGCUCGACACCUAGGGAGCAGCAGUGGGGAAUAUUGGGCAAUGGGCGAAAGCCUGACCCAGCAACGCCGCGUGAAGGAAGAAGGCUUUCGGGUUGUAAACUUCUUUUAUCAGGGACGAAGGAUGUGACGGUACCUGAUGAAUAAGCCACGGCUAACUACGUGCCAGUAGCCGCCGGUAAGUACUGAGCGGGCCGUGGCGAAGGACG
rnacentral:rRNA from 1 species